rnacentral:rRNA from 1 species
UGGGGAAUUUUGGACAAUGGACGAAAGUCUGAUCCAGCCAUGCCGCGUGCGGGAAGAAGGCCUUCGGGUUGUAAACCGCUUUUGUCAGGGAAGAAAUCUUCUGGGUUAAUACCUCGGGAGGAUGACGGUACCUGAAGAAUAAGCACCGGCUAACUACGUGCCAGCAGCCGCGGUAAUACGUAGGGUGCAAGCGUUAAUCGGAAUUACUGGGCGUAAAGCGUGCGCAGGCGGUUAUGUAAGACAGAGGUGAAAUCCCCGGGCUCAACCUGGGAACUGCCUUUGUGACUGCAUGACUAGAGUACGGUAGAGGGGGAUGGAAUUCCGCGUGUAGCAGUGAAAUGCGUAGAUAUGCGGAGGAACACCGAUGGCGAAGGCAAUCCCCUGGGCCUGCACUGACGCUCAUGCACGAAAGCGUGGGGAGCAAACAGGAUUAGAUACCCUGGUAGUCCACGCCCUAAACGAUGUCAACUGGUUGUUGGGAAGGUUCCUUCUCAGUAACGUAGCUAACGCGUGAAGUUGACCGCCUGGGGAGUACGGCCGCAAGGUUG